UAUUUAAAACCCCACUCUUAUAAAUUGAAUCAUUUUAUAUUAUGUAUGUAAUAAAUAAAGAUCACUUUCAACAACGGAUCUCUUGGCUCUCGCAUCGAUGAAGAACGUAGCGAAGUGCGAUAAGUAAUGUGAAUUGCAGAAUUCCGUGAAU
rnacentral:rRNA from 1 species